rnacentral:rRNA from 1 species
GACGUAGGGCGCGAGCGUUGUCCGGAUUUAUUGGGCGUAAAGAGCUCGUAAGCGGCUUGUCGCGUCGACCGUGAAAACUUGGGGCUCAACCCCAAGCCUGCGGUCGAUACGGGCAGGCUAGAGUUCGGUAGGGGAGACUGGAAUUCCUGGUGUAGCGGUGAAAUGCGCAGAUAUCAGGAGGAACACCGGUGGCGAAGGCGGGUCUCUGGGCCGAUACUGACGCUGAGGAGCGAAAGCGUGGGGAGCGAACAGG